AUGACUAUGGCGAAAUUGGUAGACGCGAUUAGUUUAGGUCUAAUUAUUUAUAUGUAAGGGUUCAAAUCCCUUUAGUCAUA
rnacentral:tRNA from 1 species